rnacentral:tRNA from 1 species
UGGGCUGGUAGUAUAGCCUGGUAGUAUACCCGCCUUGCACGCGGGGGGUCAUGGGUUCAAAUCCCGUCCAGUCCACUUA